UAGGGAAUCUUCCGCAAUGGGCGAAAGCCUGACGGAGCAACGCCGCGUGAGUGAUGAAGGUCUUCGGAUCGUAAAACUCUGUUAUUAGGGAAGAACAUAUGUGUAAGUAACUGUGCACAUCUUGACGGUACCUAAUCAGAAAGCCACGGCUAACUACGUGCCAGCAGCCGCGGUAAUACGUAGGUGGCAAGCGUUAUCCGGAAUUAUUGGGCGUAAAGCGCGCGUAGGCGGUUUUUUAAGUCUGAUGUGAAAGCCCACGGCUCAACCGUGGAGGGUCAUUGGAAACUGGAAAACUUGAGUGCAGAAGAGGAAAGUGGAAUUCCAUGUGUAGCGGUGAAAUGCGCAGAGAUAUGGAGGAACACCAGUGGCGAAGGCGACUUUCUGGUCUGUAACUGACGCUGAUGUGCGAAAGCGUGGGGAUCAAACAGGAUUAGAUACCCUGGUAGUCCACGCCGUAAACGAUGAGUGCUAAGUGUUAGGGGGUUUCCGCCCCUUAGUGCUGCAGCUAACGCAUUAAGCACUCCGCCUGGGGAGUACGACCGCAAGGUUGAAACUCAAAGGAAUUGACGGGGACCCGCACAAGCGGUGGAGCAUGUGGUUUAAUUCGAAGC
rnacentral:rRNA from 1 species